rnacentral:rRNA from 1 species
AGCAGUAGCCGCGGGAAUACGGAGGAUCCAAGCGUUAUCCGGAUUUAUUGGGUUUAAAGGGUGCGUAGGUGGCCUGUUAAGUCAGGGGUGAAAGACGGUAGCUCAACUAUCGCAGUGCCCUUGAUACUGAUGGGCUUGAAUGAACUAGAGGUAGGCGGAAUGUGACAAGUAGCGGUGAAAUGCAUAGAUAUGUCACAGAACACCAAUUGCGAAGGCAGCUUACUAUGGUUUGAUUGACACUGAGGCACGAAAGCGUGGGGAUCAAACAGGAUUAGAUACCCCCGUAGUCCCUGUCUCUUAUAC